rnacentral:misc_RNA from 1 species
AACGCACCUUGCGCCCCUUGGCCAUUCCGAGGGGCAUGCCUGUUUGAGUAUCAUGAACACCUCAACUCUCAUGGCUUGCCCAUGAUGAGCUUGGAUUUUGGGGGUUUUGCCGGCCUGUGGUUGGCUCCUCUCAAAUGAAUCAGCUUGCCAGUGUUUUGGUGGCGUCAUGGGUGUGAUGACUAUCUACGCUUGUGAUCGUCUGCUGAGUGACCUUCAGCGAUGGAGGUUUGCUGGAGCUUACAAAUGUCUCUCCUCGGCGAAGACAGCUUUUUGAACGUUCGAUCUCAAAUCAGGUAGGACUACCCGCUGAACUUAA